CCAAUAGCGUAUAUUAAAGUUGUUGCAGUUAAAAAGCUCGUAGUUGAACUUCAGGCCUGGCUGGACGGUCCGCCCUCUGGGUGAGCACUGUCUGUGGUCGGGUCCUACCUUCUGGCGAAGCGGCAUGGCCUUAACCGGCCGUGGCGGGGAACCAGGACUUUUACUGUGAAAAAAUUAGAGUGUUCAAAGCAGGCACGCGCUUGAAUACAUUAGCAUGGAAUAAUGGAAUAGGACAAUGGUUCUAUUUGUUGGUUUCUAGGACCGUUGUAAUGAUUAAUAGGGAUAGUUGGGGGCAUUAGUAUUCAAUUGUCAGAGGUGAAAUUCUUGGAUUUAUUGAAGACUAACUACUGCGAAAGCAUUUGCCAAGGAUGUUUUCAUUAAUCAAGAACGAAAGUUAGGGGAUCGAAGACGAUCAGAUACCGUCGUAGUCUUAACCAUAAACUAUGCCGACUAGGAAUCGGGCGAUGUUGACAAAAUGACGCGCUCGGCACCUCAUG
rnacentral:rRNA from 1 species